AGCUGAAAUUGUGGAAUAGGCUGGGCAUUGUGAACAGGUAAUAGAUGGAAUUUUGUUGAGAUUCGCUCAUCGCGUUGGAUGGAGUCUCCCACACCAGGCACAGCAUCACCACACACACACACCAUCACCAGGCACAGCAAUGUGAUUUCAGGAUGGGCAAAGGCAGAGGCAGCACACACACUUCCGGCUUCCAUUGGCAGGAGAAUCACCUUUUGAACUGCUGAGAGGACACAAAGCUACCACCAAACUAACCCAAUAGCAAGAACUGAUAGGGCUUUCCAUACCAUCUCACCAUGAGGAUGUAGAGAUUCAUAAUUGGGGAGCGGAACAGGAAGAGGGGUUGAAGAACUGAACAACAGAAAUAUCCUACCGUAAUAUGAACACCGUUUACACUAGCUAAUCUUGAUCAACAAUGUGAAUUUAAUAGAACAUAAAACAAUGAG